AAUAGAUACCCAGGUAGUCCACGCCGUAAACGAUGAGUGCUAAGUGUUAGAGGGCUUCCACCCUUUAGUGCUGCAGCUAACGCAUUAAGCACUCCGCCUGGGGAGUACGGCCGCAAGGCUGAAACUCAAAGGGAAUUGACGGGGGCCCGCACAAGCGGUGGAGCAUGUGGUUUAAUUCGAAGCAACGCGAAGAACCUUACCAGGUCUUGACAUCCUUCGCUACCUCUAGAGAUAGAGGGUUCCCCUUCGGGGGACGGAGUGACAGGUGGUGCAUGGUUGUCGUCAGCUCGUGUCGUGAGAUGUUGGGUUAAGUCCCGCAACGAGCGCAACCCUUGACCUUAGUUGCCAGCAUUCAGUUGGGCACUCUAAGGUGACUGCCGGUGACAAACCGGAGGAAGGUGGGGGAUGACGUCAAAUCAUCAUGCCCCUUAUGACCUGGGCUACACACGUGCUACAAUGGAGUGGUACAAAGGGUCGCGAAACCGCGAGGUGGAGCCAAAUACCCAAAAAACCAAUUCUCAGUUCGGAUUGCAGG
rnacentral:rRNA from 1 species